UAUGGAGAUGAAACGGGGUGUGAGUGUGAUUAACAGCUGCAGAGCUGCACUCAACACAGCCUCUCUGUAAUGUUUAUGCAAAUCUGCAUCUCCUCUUGUAAUAUUAGCAGCGUUCUGAUCUAGAGAGGAAACACUUCUCAUUAGUCUUCCUUCAACACAAACAUGUUUGCUUCAGCUCCACUGCUGCUGCUGGCUCUCGCCCCCUAUGUGUUCUGUGCUACUGAGCUCAUCCAGCCAGACUCACUGCUUAUAAAGCCAGGAGAGACUUUAACCAUCACCUGUAAAGUGUCUGGAGCUUCUAUCACUGAUAGCAGCAGCCACUAUGGAACAGCUUGGAUUCGACAACCUGCAGGAAAAGCUUUAGAAUGGAUCAAUUUAAUCUAUUUUACUGGGAGUAUUAUUAAUAAAGAUUCACUUAAAGACAAGUUUGUGGUCUCUCGAGACACUUCCAGUAACUCUGUGACCUUACGGGGACAGAACAUGCAGACUGAAGACACAGCUGUGUAUUACUGCGCUCGUGAUCCACACAGUGACACGACAAGCUGCAGUGCUGCACAAAAACCUCAUCACAAUUCACUUCUUUAAUUAAAUAACAACUAC